rnacentral:lncRNA from 1 species
CUCAUGGCAGGGCAAGAGGACCCCAAGUCCACGGAUGACUACUUACUCUAACCAGCCAUGGUCCCUGGUUCUCCACUGGCCUUCCUCUGAACGAUCCAGGGCCAAGGGGGGCAGGUGGCCAGAUGGCAGCCUGUAGGACAGUCUUAGCAGAUCUCAGGGACACCCCACUGGGACAAAGCCACCGGGGCUGCAGGGACACCGACUGCUCCCGGCUGCCCCAGGGGCUGCACAGCUUGGCCCGGAGAGGAGUGGGACCCAGCUGACAGCAUCCUGCCAAGGUAGGCAAUUGAUGAGCCUACUUUCUGCCAGGCUCAGCCCGCUCUGCUCUUCUGCAGGCCACGUCUCUGAUACGUAUGAGGAAUGGCCGCUCCCGAGACCAUUUCUGUCCACAGCCGGGCUCCACGUCCCCGUGGCCAGAAGACUCACCACAGUGCUCUCAGGUGGUCAUCCCAAGAUUGGAGAGAGCCCCAUCGAGCAGAGAGAGUCGAUACUCGGGCUACUGAUCCCUCACUGUUAUCCUGGUAACAGAGCAUCUCACUGACACCUCCACUAGCCUCAGAAAUGGUGGAGGUCUGAACGGGAGGUUUGAAAGGGAAGCUGGUUCUUUGGAGACUACAAAUGGGGGAAAAUGAGGAAAGAGUAGGCAGAACUGUGUUGAAAAGCUUCAGGAAGGCUCUGUUCAGUGGUAGAUCUGAGCGCUUCUCUCAUAAUUAAACACGCCAGCAGCUAAUUGCCUCCAGCAAUUUUUUUAAAAGACUAGAUUCAAUUUCCACUCCUUUAAAAUGCAAUCUAGACAAUUUAUGAAAAGCAACCAAAUAUACUGCAGAGAUGAAUAGACUUUUUCUUGCCAUAACCUUCCUUAAAAGCACUCGGAGAGGUAAAAAUAUUCUUAAAUCAAAAGGAACACCAUACUUAAUAAAAGGAAAGCUGGCAUAGUUAAUUUAGUGGCU